rnacentral:rRNA from 1 species
CGGGACACGUGGUAUCCUGUCUGAAUAUGGGGGGACCAUCCUCCAAGGCUAAAUACUCCUGACUGACCGAUAGUGAACCAGUACCGUGAGGGAAAGGCGAAAAGAACCCCGGCGAGGGGAGUGAAAAAGAACCUGAAACCGUGUACGUACAAGCAGUGGGAGCACGCUUAGGCGUGUGACUGCGUACCUUUUGUAUAAUGGGUCAGCGACUUAUAUUCUGUAGCAAGGUUAACCGAAUAGGGGAGCCGAAGGGAAACCGAGUCUUAACUGGGCGUUAAGUUGCAGGGUAUAGACCCGAAACCCGGUGAUCUAGCCAUGGGCAGGUUGAAGGUUGGGUAACACUAACUGGAGGACCGAACCGACUAAUGUUGAAAAAUUAGCGGAUGACUUGUGGCUGGGGGUGAAAGGCCAAUCAAACCGGGAGAUAGCUGGUUCUCCCCGAAAGCUAUUUAGGUAGCGCCUCGUGAAUUCAUCUCCGGGGGUAGAGCACUGUUUCGGCAAGGGGGUCAUCCCGACUUACCAACCCGAUGCAAA